rnacentral:rRNA from 1 species
CCUACGGGAGGCAGCAGUGGGGAAUAUUGGGCAAUGGGCGAAAGCCUGACCCAGCGACGCCGCGUGAGGGACGAAGGCCUUCGGGUUGUAAACCUCUUUCAGCAGGGAAGAAGCGAAAGUGACGGUACCUGCAGAAGAAGCACCGGCUAACUACGUGCCAGCAGCCGCGGUAAUACGUAGGGUGCAAGCGUUGUCCGGAAUUAUUGGGCGUAAAGAGCUCGUAGGUGGUUUGCCACGUCGGAUGUGAAAACCUGAGGCUUAACCUCAGGCCUGCAUUCGAUACGGGCAGACUAGAGUGUGGUAGGGGAGACUGGAAUUCCUGGUGUAGCGGUGAAAUGCGCAGAUAUCAGGAGGAACACCGGUGGCGAAGGCGGGUCUCUGGGCCAUAACUGACACUGAGGAGCGAAAGCGUGGGGAGCAAACAGGAUUAGAUACCCUGGUAGUCCACGCCGUAAACGGUGGGCACUAGAUGUGGGGACCUUCCACGGUCUCUGCGUCGCNGCUACGCAUAAGUGCCCGCCGUCGGGUAGGUACGGCCGCGACGACGUAAACGUACGAAAGAAAGUUAAGUACGGCGUUGAGACGUUGCCGAACGGACGACGACGAGGGAGGAGG